rnacentral:rRNA from 1 species
GGGUUGUGAGGUUAAGCGACUAAGCGUACACGGUGGAUGCCCUGGCAGUCAGAGGCGAUGAAGGGCGUGCUAAUCUGCGAUAAGCGCCGGUAAGGUGAUAUGAACCGUUAUAACCGGCGAUACCCGAAUGGGGAAACCCAGUGUGACUCGUCACACUAUCAUUAACUGAAUCCAUAGGUUAAUGAGGCGAACCGGGGGAACUGAAACAUCUAAGUACCCCGAGGAAAAGAAAUCAACCGAGAUUCCCCCAGUAGCGGCGAGCGAACGGGGAGGAGCCCAGAGCCUGAAUCAGCAUGUGUGUUAGUGGAAGCGUCUGGAAAGGCGCGCGAUACAGGGUGACAGCCCCGUACACAAAAGCGCAUGUGCUGUGAGCUCGAUGAGUAGGGCGGGACACGUGGUAUCCUGUCUGAAUAUGGGGGGACCAUCCUCCAAGGCUAAAUACUCCUGACUGACCGAUAGUGAACCAGUACCGUGAGGGAAAGGCGAAAAGAACCCCGGCGAGGGGAGUGAAAAAGAACCUGAAACCGUGUACGUACAAGCAGUGGGAGCCCCACCACCAAAGCAUUCUCUGGUGUUGAAGGCCCUGCAAAGCAGCAUCGCGGUGGCGGAGCGUCGUUUGCGACGCCCAACACACAAAACAAGCGGUGAGUGCUUUGGGGUGGGGUGACUGCGUACCUUUUGUAUAAUGGGUCAGCGACUUAUAUUCUGUAGCAAGGUUAACCGAAUAGGGGAGCCGGAGGGAAACCGAGUCUUAAUUGGGCGUUAAGUUGCAGGGUAUAGACCCGAAACCCGGUGAUCUAGCCAUGGGCAGGUUGAAGGUUGGGUAACACUAACUGGAGGACCGAACCGACUAAUGUUGAAAAAUUAGCGGAUGACCUGUGGCUGGGGGUGAAAGGCCAAUCAAACCGGGAGAUAGCUGGUUCUCCCCGAAAGCUAUUUAGGUAGCGCCUCGUGAAUUCAUCUCCGGGGGUAGAGCACUGUUUCGGCUAGGGGGCCAUCCCGGCUUACCAACCCGAUGCAAACUGCGAAUACCGGAGAAUGUUAUCACGGGAGACACACGGCGGGUGCUAACGUCCGUCGUGAAGAGGGAAACAACCCAGACCGCCAGCUAAGGUCCCAAAGUCAUGGUUAAGUGGGAAACGAUGUGGGAAGGCCCAGACAGCCAGGAUGUUGGCUUAGAAGCAGCCAUCAUUUAAAGAAAGCGUAAUAGCUCACUGGUCGAGUCGGCCUGCGCGGAAGAUGUAACGGGGCUAAACCAUGCACCGAAGCUGCGGCAGCGACGCUUAUGCGUUGUUGGGUAGGGGAGCGUUCUGUAAGCCGUUGAAGGUGGCCUGUGAGGGUUGCUGGAGGUAUCAGAAGUGCGAAUGCUGACAUAAGUAACGAUAAAGCGGGUGAAAAGCCCGCUCGCCGGAAGACCAAGGGUUCCUGUCCAACGUUAAUCGGGGCAGGGUGAGUCGACCCCUAAGGCGAGGCCGAAAGGCGUAGUCGAUGGGAAACGGGUUAAUAUUCCCGUACUUGGUGUUACUGCGAAGGGGGGACGGAGAAGGCUAUGUUGGCCGGGCGACGGUUGUCCCGGUUUAAGCGUGUAGGUGUGUGUUCCAGGUAAAUCCGGUUCACUUUAACACUGAGGCGUGACGACGAGGCACUACGGUGCUGAAGCAACAAAUGCCCUGCUUCCAGGAAAAGCCUCUAAGCAUCAGGUAACAUCAAAUCGUACCCCAAACCGACACAGGUGGUCAGGUAGAGAAUACCAAGGCGCUUGAGAGAACUCGGGUGAAGGAACUAGGCAAAAUGGUGCCGUAACUUCGGGAGAAGGCACGCUGACACGUAGGUGAAGUGAUUUACUCAUGGAGCUGAAGUCAGUCGAAGAUACCAGCUGGCUGCAACUGUUUAUUAAAAACACAGCACUGUGCAAACACGAAAGUGGACGUAUACGGUGUGACGCCUGCCCGGUGCCGGAAGGUUAAUUGAUGGGGUCAGCGCAAGCGAAGCUCCUGAUCGAAGCCCCGGUAAACGGCGGCCGUAACUAUAACGGUCCUAAGGUAGCGAAAUUCCUUGUCGGGUAAGUUCCGACCUGCACGAAUGGCGUAAUGAUGGCCAGGCUGUCUCCACCCGAGACUCAGUGAAAUUGAACUCGCUGUGAAGAUGCAGUGUACCCGCGGCAAGACGGAAAGACCCCGUGAACCUUUACUAUAGCUUGACACUGAACAUUGAGCCUUGAUGUGUAGGAUAGGUGGGAGGCUUUGAAGCGUGGACGCCAGUCUGCGUGGAGCCGACCUUGAAAUACCACCCUUUAAUGUUUGAUGUUCUAACGUGGACCCGUUACCCGGGUUGCGGACAGUGUCUGGUGGGUAGUUUGACUGGGGCGGUCUCCUCCUAAAGAGUAACGGAGGAGCACGAAGGUUGGCUAAUCCUGGUCGGACAUCAGGAGGUUAGUGCAAUGGCAUAAGCCAGCUUGACUGCGAGCGUGACGGCGCGAGCAGGUGCGAAAGCAGGUCAUAGUGAUCCGGUGGUUCUGAAUGGAAGGGCCAUCGCUCAACGGAUAAAAGGUACUCCGGGGAUAACAGGCUGAUACCGCCCAAGAGUUCAUAUCGACGGCGGUGUUUGGCACCUCGAUGUCGGCUCAUCACAUCCUGGGGCUGAAGUAGGUCCCAAGGGUAUGGCUGUUCGCCAUUUAAAGUGGUACGCGAGCUGGGUUUAGAACGUCGUGAGACAGUUCGGUCCCUAUCUGCCGUGGGCGCUGGAGAACUGAGGGGGGCUGCUCCUAGUACGAGAGGACCGGAGUGGACGCAUCACUGGUGUUCGGGUUGUCAUGCCAAUGGCACUGCCCGGUAGCUAAAUGCGGAAGAGAUAAGUGCUGAAAGCAUCUAAGCACGAAACUUGCCCCGAGAUGAGUUCUCCCUGAGACUUAGAGUCUCCUGAAGGAACGUUGAAGACGACGACGUUGAUAGGCCGGGUGUGUAAGCGCAGCGAUGCGUUGAGCUAACCGGUACUAAUGAACCGUGAGGCUUAACCUUACAACGCCGAAG